rnacentral:rRNA from 1 species
UACAGAGGGGGCAAGCGUUGUUCGGAAUUACUGGGCGUAAAGGGCGCGUAGGCGGCCCGCUAAGUCGAACGUGAAAUCCCCGGGCUCAACCCGGGAACUGCGUCCGAUACUGGUGGGCUUGAAUCCGGGAGAGGGAUGCGGAAUUCCAGGUGUAGCGGUGAAAUGCGUAGAUAUCAGGAGGAACACCGGUGGCGAAGGCGGAUCUCUGGGCCUUACCUGACGCUGAGGCGCGAAAGCUAGGGGAGCAAACAGG